UCCCUGGUGGCUCAGACAGUAAAGAAUCUGCCUGCAAAGCAGGAGACCCAGGUUCAAUUCCUGGUCGGGAAG
rnacentral:tRNA from 1 species